rnacentral:rRNA from 1 species
GAUGAACGCUGGCGGCGUGCCUAAUACAUGCAAGUCGAGCGAACGGACGAGAAGCUUGCUUCUCUGAUGUUAGCGGCGGACGGGUGAGUAACACGUGGAUAACCUACCUAUAAGACUGGGAUAACUUCGGGAAACCGUAGCUAAUACCGGAUAAUAUUUUGAACCGCAUGGUUCAAAAGUGAAAGACGGUCUUGCUGUCACUUAUAGAUGGAUCCGAGCUGCAUUAGCUAGUUGGUAAGGUAACGGCUUAUCAAGGCAACGAUGCAUAGCCGACCUGCGAGGGGGAUCGGCCACACUGGAACUGGGACACGGUCCAGACUCCUACGGGAGGCAGCAGUAGGGAAUCGUCCGCAAUGGUCGGAAGCCUUGCGGAGCAACGCCGCGUGAGUGAUGAAGGUCUUCGGAUCGGAAAACUCUGUUAUUAGUGAAGAACAUAUGUGUAAGUAACUGUGGACAUCUUGACGGUACCUAAUCAGAAAGCCACGGCUAACUACGUG